GAUGAACGCUGGCGGCGUGCCUAAUACAUGCAAGUCGAGCGAACAGACGAGGAGCUUGCUCCUCUGACGUUAGCGGCGGACGGGUGAGUAACACGUGGAUAACCUACCUAUAAGACUGGGAUAACUUCGGGAAACCGGAGCUAAUACCGGAUAAUAUAUUGAACCGCAUGGUUCAAUAGUGAAAGACGGUUUUGCUGUCACUUAUAGAUGGAUCCGCGCCGCAUUAGCUAGUUGGUAAGGUAACGGCUUACCAAGGCAACGAUGCGUAGCCGACCUGAGCGGGUGAUCGGCCACACUGGAACUGAAACACGGUCCAGACUCCUACGGGAGGCAGCAGUAGGGAAUCUUCCGCAAUGGGCGAAAGCCUGACGGAGCAACGCCGCGUGAGUGAUGAAGGUCUUCGGAUCGUAAAACUCUGUUAUUAGGGAAGAACAAAUGUGUAAGUAACUAUGCACGUCUUGACGGUACCUAAUCAGAAAGCCACGGCUAACUACGUG
rnacentral:rRNA from 1 species